CAGUGCUUUUUCAAGAUCGUGCUUCCCAAUGAAGCAAAUUAAAUGCAUACAUAAAGUCUUUCAGAAACCCAAACAGUCAGCCAAGCAGUGUGAAGUGUGAUUUCCUAGCAUUAGUGACAAUUCCAAAGCUAAAGAGAAAAAUACAAAACAAUUACAAUGUUAGAUACAUACAAUUCCACAUUCAGUGGCUCUAGGCAUGUGCUGAAUCUGAUUGUUCUGUUCUUGAAAAAAAUGAAGCAGUGACCAUGUUAAUUGAUUUGAAUUGUAUAUUCAGUUUAGAUUAAUUACUUUUAGUCCAUUUAUAAUAGUGGCAACAACCAAAAUUAGGGAUCAGAUCUAACUUGUUAAGUGAUGAUUUCCGACUUUCUCGAAGUAGCAACGCUGUAACAAAUUCUAGCAUCAUGUAGUUAACAUUCGGAAGCUUCUUCAAUAUGUUCCCAAGUCAGGAAUGCUAACCCUCACAUCUCUAAGCUCAUCAUAAAGCGCAAAUGUAGUGAGCAGUUCAGCGAUGCUGGUAAGGUAGCACUUCAUCAGCGCACCUAUAUCAAUAGGAUUGGCACCUUCAGGUAAAGAUGUACCUGAAUCUGCAGAACAUAACAUUACUCAGAGGCCCAUGGUAAUGAAUGGUGGCUACAAGAUUAAGCUCAGAUAUGAUUGAGUGGCGGCAAUACCUUCAUUGUAAAGAGAUAAAGCUGCAAUAAUAAUCAUAUAGAUACAACUUAAGGCUUACGAAUUUAGACUAUGCUAUACAGCUGCUUAGAUGUUACAUGAAAAUGUAAUUGCCUCGACAAUAUAUACUCAACACUGAAUGCCUCAGUCAGUUCUAGGAAUACUCAACACUGCUAGGCAAACCACACUAUCAGUCUGGUUCUGAGAAUAUUGCUUGCAUCUCUUAUAUUUGAAAUCCAUGUAUUGCUUGCACGACCAGGCUGAGGACUUUGAGGAUAAGAGAUCCCUGGCCAUGCUUGCGAGCGCCGAGCGGUCUGCUAAAAGGUAUGUGAUGCCCUUGCUUCUCUGCUUCUACCACUGCACCAUUAGAAAUCAAUUCUCCGAAAAUGUGUCUCCAUCAUGUUUGAUUGGAACUAACUUGCCCGUUGGUUAAUAUAUUGUUUUAUGAAAAACAUGAGGUCAAGUAUUUUAAUGAGCAACUUUAGCUUUAUACGUUUGCAAAUGGCACUAAUGAUCUCUUAGCUUCAAACGCAUCUUACAUUCCGAUUUCAGUUAUGGUACUGACCUUUCAGUUGGGUUGAAGUGUUAAAAAUGGAUCCAGAUUAAUUAAUCUAAUUGCGAUUAGUUUAAUCGGGUAUAAAUAUUCCAUCUUUGGACAUAAGUUUCAGUGACAAGCUUUUAUUGCUCACGUGAAGAAAUUCUUGUGGACAAUGAGGGGAACGCAGGGUGCUCCCAUCAUUGCAUCGACAAUUCAGAUCAUACUUGGUUUCAGUGGGCUCUGGCGCAUUGUUCUCAAGUUGGUGUAUUAUUUUCCCUGGCAGUAUUUUUGGAUUACUAUGUAUCAUUUCUUUUUGUAGUAUGUUAAAUUGAAUUUCAUCAUAUUUUCUCCUUUGUACAGAUUAUUAAGUCCGUUAUCAUCUGUUCCUUUGGUAUCACUUGUUGGAUUUGGAAUUUAUGAGCUUGGCUUUCCAGACGUUUGUUUGCUCUAUCUAUUUCUCUUUGUCUCCAUGUUUUAACAUCAGGAUUGAUGACAUAUUCUGCAUGUAGGUAGCUAAAUGUGUCGAAGCUGGCCUUCCAGAACUCCUCCUGUUGGUUGUAUUUUCUCAGUAUUUGCCUCAAGUUCUGCAUUUCGGGAAGGAUGUCUUUGGAAGGUUUGGUGUUCUUCACUGUCCCUAUCGUGUGGCUCUACAUAUACUUUCUCACCAUCGGUGGUGCCUACAAGAAUUCUUCACCGAAGACGCAGGUGCAUUGCCGUGUUGAUCGUUCAGGUCUUGUUGCAGGAGCUUCUUGGUAGGAUCCCAGGGCAACAUUCUUACUUUAGACUGCCAUGUUGGUGACAUUACUUAUGAAGUUUAAAAACAAUCAUUGUAUGCAUUGCUUUGUGAACCAGCCCACUCACUCUUCAGGUAAUUCAGUCUUACUCCUUCCUGCAUUGCACUACAGAUUACUACUACCCUUCUUGUUUGUGAGUAAACUAAUUGAUUACUUAUCUCUAUUUU